GUCUAACACGUAGCUCAUUCAAAGGUAUAAAAAAGUAUUUUUUGUCGUGUGUAGGGUAUUUUAACUAUGUAGCCUACAGAAUGCUUGUAUGGGCUCAUGUAGGUGUCUGCGUACGUUUGUAUUUAUAUAACAUAUGUCCGUGUGUAUAGAUUAUGUAUUUUUCAGGGAAGGACCAUAUUUGUGGCUGACCCCUAUGUUGUUGCAACAUGGUGAAAGCCUACAGGAUGUGACCCACACAUGCAUUUGCCUAAAACGUUGACAGUCAAUCAACAGGGGGACAUGGAAAGAGAGGAUUGGAAGUGAAAUAGAGGGUUUUCCGGGACAGCCAUAGGGGAAGGACUGUGGCAUCUUCAUGUUGAUGACUGAUAUGCCAACUCUGAGGAAGUGGUGGUGUAUAUUGCUAGCGGACAAUUUCAAACUUGGGUGCAUGCCACAGGAAAGAGUUUGCCCAUUGGACAGAUGAGGCAAAAGCAUUACUGCAGGGUGAAGUGCCACCAGUCUAUCAGUUACAGAAGUGAAAUUUGAAUAUAAUUGCUGAGGAAGAGGUGCAACCACAGCUCCUUCAAGUUAGUGGUGGCCCACUCCAAAAAGAUAUGGCGGGAAAAAAUGUUUUGGUAAAAGGAUUGUGCAAGACAGCACAAAAGCCUCGGACAGGGCUAGGGGGGAAAAAAAUCAAUGCAGUAGGAGUUCCCAAGCAUCCUGCAGAUGGAAGAGGAUGAGCACGAACUACAAUGUCUUGGAGCCAUUCAAGUUCUGUUUCAACCAUCUGGAAGAUGGAUUUACCUUUUUUGAGGAGAUUGUUGACUAAAGAAAAUAUCUAUUCUCUCAAUAAUAAUAAAAAAUAAUAAAACUAAAAAAAUAAAGUUUACCACAUCAGAACUGGUUGUAUUGAGUUCAUUUUUCUACACUUAUAAAUG